AUUCUGGAGAGGAAUGCAUCCUUCAUCAUUUUGUCCAUUUGAGCUGCAGACAAUUAAGGUUGUUUCAUGUUUGCUUACAUUAUUCAAAAACAUUUUGUAUCUUCACCAUCUAAAUUGGCUGA